rnacentral:tRNA from 1 species
UCUGAUCUGAUCAGAUGGUAAAGAAUCUGCCUGCAAUGCAGGAAACCCAGGUUUGAUCCCUGGGACUGGAA